GGUUCCUCUAUAUAGGAGGUUCUGCCAAGCUACUGGGUAUGGGGGUACUGUUCAAUGCCGUGAGAGUGUUGAAGAAAAGAUAUCUCGGCAUACUCAAGAUGGAACAAUCACCACCAGGGAUAUUGUGGUGCAGUUCAAUGCUAACGUGGCAGAUGGAAUGCCUUGGAAGUUUAUUCCC